GGCACUACGGUGCUGAAGCAACAAAUGCCCUGCUUCCAGGAAAAGCCUCUAAGCAUCAGGUAACAUCAAAUCGUACCCCAAACCGACACAGGUGGUCAGGUAGAGAAUACCAAGGCGCUUGAGAGAACUCGGGUGAAGGAACUAGGCAAAAUGGUGCCGUAACUUCGGGAGAAGGCACGCUGAUAUGUAGGUGAAGUCCCUCGCGGAUGGAGCUGAAAUCAGUCGAAGAUACCAGCUGGCUGCAACUGUUUAUUAAAAACACAGCACUGUGCAAACACGAAAGUGGACGUAUACGGUGUGACGCCUGCCCGGUGCCGGAAGGUUAAUUGAUGGGGUUAGCGCAAGCGAAGCUCUUGAUCGAAGCCCCGGUAAACGGCGGCCGUAACUAUAACGGUCCUAAGGUAGCGAAAUUCCUUGUCGGGUAAGUUCCGACCUGCACGAAUGGCGUAAUGAUGGCCAGGCUGUCUCCACCCGAGACUCAGUGAAAUUGAACUCGCUGUGAAGAUGCAGUGUACCCGCGGCAAGACGGAAAGACCCCGUGAACCUUUACUAUAGCUUGACACUGAACAUUGAGCCUUGAUGUGUAGGAUAGGUGGGAGGCUUUGAAGUGUGGACGCCAGUCUGCAUGGAGCCGACCUUGAAAUACCACCCUUUAAUGUUUGAUGUUCUAACGUUGACCCGUAAUCCGGGUUGCGGACAGUGUCUGGUGGGUAGUUUGACUGGGGCGGUCUCCUCCUAAAGAGUAACGGAGGAGCACGAAGGUUGGCUAAUCCUGGUCGGACAUCAGGAGGUUAGUGCAAUGGCAUAAGCCAGCUUGACUGCGAGCGUGACGGCGCGAGCAGGUGCGAAAGCAGGUCAUAGUGAUCCGGUGGUUCUGAAUGGAAGGGCCAUCGCUCAACGGAUAAAAGGUACUCCGGGGAUAACAGGCUGAUACCGCCCAAGAGUUCAUAUCGACGGCGGUGUUUGGCACCUCGAUGUCGGCUCAUCACAUCCUGGGGCUGAAGUAGGUCCCAAGGGUAUGGCUGUUCGCCAUUUAAAGUGGUACGCGAGCUGGGUUUAGAACGUCGUGAGACAGUUCGGUCCCUAUCUGCCGUGGGCGCUGGAGAAUUGAGGGGGGCUGCUCCUAGUACGAGAGGACCGGAGUGGACGCAUCACUGGUGUUCGGGUUGUCAUGCCAAUGGCACUGCCCGGUAGCUAAAUGCGGAAGAGAUAAGUGCUGAAAGCAUCUAA
rnacentral:rRNA from 1 species